GGUGACGAGCGGCGGACGGGUGAGUAAUGUCUGGGAAACUGCCUGAUGGAGGGGGAUAACUACUGGAAACGGUAGCUAAUACCGCAUAACGUCGCAAGACCAAAGUGGGGGACCUUCGGGCCUCAUGCCAUCAGAUGUGCCCAGAUGGGAUUAGCUAGUAGGUGGGGUAAUGGCUCACCUAGGCGACGAUCCCUAGCUGGUCUGAGAGGAUGACCAGCCACACUGGAACUGAGACACGGUCCAGACUCCUACGGGAGGCAGCAGUGGGGAAUAUUGCACAAUGGGCGCAAGCCUGAUGCAGCCAUGCCGCGUGUAUGAAGAAGGCCUUCGGGUUGUAAAGUACUUUCAGCGAGGAGGAAGGCAUUAAGGUUAAUAACCUUAGUGAUUGACGUUACUCGCAGAAGAAGCACCGGCUAACUCCGUGCCAGCAGCCGCGGUAAUACGGAGGGUGCAAGCGUUAAUCGGAAUUACUGGGCGUAAAGCGCACGCAGGCGGUUUGUUAAGUCAGAUGUGAAAUCCCCGGGCUCAACCUGGGAACUGCAUUUGAAACUGGCAAGCUUGAGUCUUGUAGAGGGGGGUAGAAUUCCAGGUGUAGCGGUGAAAUGCGUAGAGAUCUGGAGGAAUACCGGUGGCGAAGGCGGCCCCCUGGACAAAGACUGAC
rnacentral:rRNA from 1 species